rnacentral:lncRNA from 1 species
GUGUUUAUACUUAUCUGAGUGAGAACUGAAGAUUACCACUUGGAGGAAGCCCUAAAUAAGAUCGAUUUGUACAUCAGUAUAAGGACAAUGCAUAACAAUGUACUUCAUUUGGAUUUAAUCAAAAGGGGUUGUGGGAUUACCUUUCACACAGGAACAGGACCAAGAGUUGUUAAGCUGAAGAAGUCUUCGAUGGACAAGAAUACAUGGCGUUAGUGAGAUUUAUAACAUCUUAGUGUAAUCUAUCCAAGCUCGACACUAAUCUUCCCUAGUUCUUCUAUGAUUAAGAUCUAGCUCAUCUCUCAUCAUUUGAACAAAGAUCCUUCAAUGGAGGUUCGCCUUUGUCGACAGGAUUGAAGAUUGGAGAACCGUUUGUUGAAGAAG